GUAACUGUGCUGAUAGCCAUGUCCCUCACAAAUCCGAUCAAUUUAUUCUCAUACAGUUUAUUACAAGUGAUUAGAACUGUCAAAGCUUAAUGCAGCUGAAGAAAUAACAUCAGUCCAGCUGUGCUGGGCUGUCAAUACUGCAAACGUUUUGUUUGAAUACUUAAUAACGUAUAGUUAAUUUACAGUACAGUAUAAUAAGGUUUAAAGUAUAAUUCACUUGAAGAACAAUACCAGCGUAAUUAUACAGAACAGUCAUUUUUCCUGUUGACAUAACAGAAAUAUGCUUUACAUGUCGUUUUGUUCUAGGGAGCAGGGAGCAUACAGAGGAGUUGAUAAAACUCCGUGGGCAAAAUGACCACCUCUUUACCAGGGCCAAAAACACUGCCGCAGUCUGAUGGAGAACAAUCCUGCAAAACACGGGCCUGGAGGGUGAAGUUGAGCCACAACAGGCCAAAAAAAAGUGGGACAACUUGGAAAAAAAA